GAAGGACUAGCUCAGCGGUAGAGUAUCUGGCUUUCAUGCAGAAGGUCCCUGGUUCAGUUCCUGGUAUCUUCA